GCCAGGCAUGGAGGCGUGUGCUUGUAAUCCCAGCUACUUGGAGGCUGAGGCAGGAGAAUUGCUUGAAUCCAGGAGGCGGAGGUUGCAGUGAGCCGAGAUGGUGCCACUGCACUCCAGCCUGGGUGACAGAACGAGACUCUGUCUCAA
rnacentral:sRNA from 1 species